rnacentral:rRNA from 1 species
UACGAAGGGUGCAAGCGUUAGUCGGAAUUACUGGGCGUAAAGCGUGCGUAGGUGGUUAUUUAAGUCGGAUGUGAAAUCCCCGGGCUCAACCUGGGAAUUGCAUUCGAUACUGGAUAGCUAGAGUUCGGCAGAGGGAAGCGGAAUUUCUGGUGUAGCGGUGAAAUGCGUAGAUAUCAGAAGGAACAUCAGUGGCGAAAGCGGCUUCCUGGACCAGAACUGACGAUCAGGCUCGAAAGCGUGGGGAGCAAACAGG